UAUAUUUUAGUGUAAGAAGCACAAAAGUUUUUGAUACUUUUAGGGAUAGUUUAAUUCUAUUAAGUAUAAA
rnacentral:tRNA from 1 species